GCCUCAUGAAAUGGCUUACACCCACAUACCCGGUAAAUUACACACUUUGAUGUUCUGCUCCUUCUCCUGACGGUCACGGUAACGAUGUCUGCGCCUCCGUUUCUGUGGAUGUCCAGCGUGAGACACAACUUGAAUCCAACCAGACUGAACUCUGACUCCAGGGACGGACGAGCCUGAAGGACACAGCUGUGAUGACCAAGUUCUGUCUCUUAUGACAAAGCAGAAAUAUAAAACACUGGGUUCUUAUCUAAAGUGUAUCAAAUCAGAUCUCCACCAUGUUGCUGCUGAGGACAUCAGGGACGGACGAGCCUGAAGGACACAGCUGUGAUGACCAAUUGACCAUGUUUUGUCUCUUAUGGCAAAGCAGAAAUAUUAAACACUGGGUUCUUAUCUAAAGUGUAUCAAAUCAGAAAGCAAAAGAUACACAUUGUUGUAAUAAGUUUUUAUUAUUUUAACCAACCAUAAUAAAGAUAGAAAUGAA